GUGUGCACGAGCUCGUGUCGGCUGGAGGGAGGUGUGGAUCCACUACCCUUUGCUAAGGGCCACCUUGCUUCCCCAUAGGCAGAUACGUGCUCUUGCACAUGGCCUGGCCAUCUGCAGUCUAAUUCACCCUGCAUCUCACCUGGUGCCAUACCUCCCUUCCCUAAAUAAAAGAGCUGGGAAGCAGCAUGGCAUUGAGAACCAGCCCUGGGUAGCAGAUCAGAGGAGCCUGAGCUUACAUGGUCACACUAGAUGUUAAGCAGGCUUAUUUCCCCUCUGCUCUCCCAUGCUGUCCCAUCUGCACAGGCUGGUAUCUGCAUCCUUGCUUCCUGUUGAUCACACACACUUCAGUGACCCCACUGAUGGCAUCCAUCAACCAGUCAAGGCUCUACAUGUCUCCAGACAGCCGUUAUUCCAAUUCCACAUCGCUACCCUGGAAAAAAAGUCCUCAGCUCCUCUCUAGAGAGGGGUGGGAAUCAAAACAUUGACAGCAAUAUAUGGCCACAGCUACUAAAGUAACUUUACUGAGGAUGGGUUCGUGCCUAGCUGUACCCUGUGCCCUUUCAGUUUGCCUGAAGAGGGCAUGUGGCUCCUCUGUUCCUGUCUAAACACACAGGAAACCGGCCAGCUGCAUGAUCUGACGCUCUAAAUUUGAGCAGCAUCUUCACUGCUUCAUCCUGCCUCUGCAGAGCAGGCAGCGAGCACGCACCUGCAGCUCCGGUUUUGCCUCUUGCUGAGGUCACCAGUUUGUCAUCCGCAGCCCUGAAUGCUGCGCAGCAAGGAGGAGCACGUCUGCGAGUGCAUUCCUGCAGAAGAGGGGAAAUGCAGGGUGGAGCAGCAACCAGCAGCUGACACUGUUUGCUACGCACUUGCUCACCACGAGGCUCAGGACGCUGCCCGCUCCUUGAAUGUUUCCUUGAUUACUUAUUCCCAGCAUACUCACACACACAAACACACACUCACCCGCUUCUCUCAGAAGACUGGAAGGACGGGCUACCAGGAAAACAAUAGCAUUUCUCCCACUCGCAGCUGUGUGACAUUUGUUUUUGUUUCUCCAGGUGGCUUUUCUGUGCUAGCAGAACAUCUCACUCCUCAGAUUUUGACUUCUCUUGCCUCUUCUUGUCGGUGUUGGACACGGCCAUCAGUAGACACAGUUCUGAGCAAUCACCGAGGAAGGUUUUUCUUAUGCACUGUGGUAAUUGUGUCAGAACUCAAGGCAGUCCCACCGGUGUUCAGGUUUCAUCUGCCAUUCCCAGAGGAUUUCAUUACUCCCGCACAACCCUUUUUUCCUAGCAAGAUUUCACAUUGCCAGCGUGGACUUACCAAAUUGAUUCCCCGGAAGAAAAUAUCACGAUUAUAUUCACAAAGCUGAGAGGAAGACAGCCACUUUUUAUUCGCUCAUAAAGGAUGUGGGAGUCCUGGGUUUAAUUUCCUCCUCUGCCUGGGGGAACUAGAACCAGCAUCACUUAUCUCCCAAGAGAAUGCCAUAAGGUUGUGCUGUGCUGCAUACUAAGAACCUCACAGGACUGUGCCCCGUUGGCCACCAGACUAGAGGGACAGCCUCUCAGCUCCACUAUCCCCCUGUGAGUGGGAUCCCUUCUUCUCACUUCUCUUUUGGGUGCUUGAAUGUUUUGCUUUCAAUUAAAUGCAAUUUUCACUGUGAAAUACAGCUAUUCCUUUGCAGUUUUUCAGCAAGAGACAUAAAACCUAACCAGACUCAUCUGUUCCUACUGAGGUGAUGUUUUCUUCUUUCCUGCUGAACCAAACAGCACUUAUUCAUAUCUCGCUGCUAUUUUUAAGAGUGGGGCCCAGCUGUAUGGCAUUCAGAAGCACCACUAAAACUUCAACAGCAGAGUACACAUCAUAGUACAUUCUGGUUAGAGAAAUGACUGGCAGUCAUUUUUGCAAUGAGUGCUGUCUGUAUCGAUGCAUGUGUGCGUAUUUAUUACAUUAGUCACCUCCGCUACUAGAAUGACUUGCAAUUAAGAUUGCUGUAGUACCUGAAAUGUCACAUUGCUUGCCUUCAUUCUGAAAGGGGCACUGCCUUAACCAGAUAAAGCAAAGAGAGACAUAUGAGGGCAUGACCAGACUUAUCCUUAUAACCACAUUAGAAUGGCUGGAAAUGUUACCACUUCUCAGCAGAGAAGUAUAUUUUAGCUGGGACAGAGUCACUGGCCGCAUGUAAGCUCUCAGUCUCUUGAACUGCAAAGCAAGAUGACUUUCAGACGUGAAAGGAACUAACCCAUUUCAUUUUGCAUUUGCCAUACAUGCCCAUAGGGUUCUCACAUCUUCGCUGAGAGACAACCACCUCCAACCACAGUGGCACACAUUUCCUAAGUUCUUAUAGUGUGACACAAAGAACAUAAGCUGAUACGCAAACACAGUAAUUAGUAUAGGAGUACCCACCUGGCUGAUGCGCUGCAUCCGUUUGCUUGUGCUCAGAGGUUGGUAUGAGCUUACAUUUUAUCUCACGUGUGAAGUGUGGAGCCAGGACCUGCCCCUCCAGCAGGUUAUGGCAUGUGCUCGCUGCUUGGGCCUCCCAGGAACUCCAGCAGGUCACUGAGAAUCACAGUGCAAGGCACCAACAGUCCUGGUCUUUGUUCACAAGGCCCUUUCCUUCGAACAGCAUAGAAAAACAAUCAGAUCACUUACUGUCAGUGGGCAGCGUUGAACCCUGAAUAUUGGGAUGGCUGCAUGGCAUAGACAAGCCGUUCAACUUACUCUUUUGCUCUUCUGAACUAAUCAACUCGGAUGGUCAAACUGGCACAAAAGUACGUUUUCUUGUGUUUGGUUUGGUUAUUUUUUUUCCCCCACAGGACUCAUUCGCUUAUGUCAAUCAACUUGAAACAAAAUCAAAUACAAGUUUCCAUGUUUGUGGGUCUCCCGGAGAGGAAAAGGCAG
rnacentral:lncRNA from 1 species